rnacentral:rRNA from 1 species
UACCUGCAGCUCGAGUGGUAACCGCUAUUAUUGGGCCUAAAGCGUCCGUAGCCGGUUUGGUAAAUAUCUGGGUAAAUCGUGAGGCUUAACUUCACGAAUUUCGGAUAGACUGCCAGACUUGGGAUCGGGGGAGGUCAGAGGUACUCCAGGGGUAGCGGUGAAAUGUUGUAAUCCUUGGAGGACCACCGGUAGCGAAGGCGUCUGACUAGAAUGAGUCCGACGGUGAGGGACGAAGCCCUGGGGCGCAAACCGGAUUAGAUACCCGGGUAGUCCAGGGUGUGAACGAUGUGGGCUUUGUAUUGGAGGUCCCACGUGGGCGUCCAGUGCAGAAGAGAAGUUGUUAAGCCCACCGCCUGGGAAGUACGGUCGCAAGGCUGAAACUUAAAGGAAUUGGCGGGGGAGCACAGCAACGGGAGGAGCGUGCGGUUU